GGGAACUUAGAUACAGGUGCUGCAUGGCUGUCGUCAGCUCGUGUCGUGAGAUGUUGGGUUAAGUCCGCAACGAGCGCAACCCUUUUCCUAUUUGCCAGCGGGUAAUGCCGGGAACUUUAAGGAUACUGCCAGUGACAAACUGGAGGAAGGCGGGGACGACGUCAAGUCAUCAUGGCCCUUACGGCCAGGGCUACACACGUGCUACAAUGGUCGGUACAAAGGGUUGCUACCUCGCGAGAGGAUGCUAAUCUCAAAAAGCCGAUCGUAGUCCGGAUCGCAGUCUGCAACUCGACUGCGUGAAGUCGGAAUCGCUAGUAAUCGCGGAUCAGAAUGCCGCGGUGAAUACGUUCCCGGGCCUUGUACACACCGCCCGUCACACCAUGGGAGUUUGUUGCACCAGAAGUAGGUAGUCUAACCGCAAGGAGGACGCUUACCACGGUGUGGCCGAUGACUGGGGUGAAGUCGUAACAAGGUAGGCGUAGAUGA
rnacentral:rRNA from 1 species